rnacentral:rRNA from 1 species
AGUAGUUUGAUCCUGGCUCGAGGACGAACGCUGGCGGCACGCUUAACACAUGCAAGUCGAACGGAGUUUAGAGAGCUUGCUUUUAAACUUAGUGGCGGACGGGUGAGUAACACGUGAGCAACCUGCCUUCAAGCGAGGAAUAAUGAGUGGAAACGCUCUGUAAUACCUCAUAACGUAUUUUACCGCAUGAUAGGAAUACCAAAGAUUUAUCACUUGAAGAUGGGCUCGCGUCCGAUUAGCUAGUUGGUGAGGUAACGGCUCACCAAGGCGACGAUCGGUAGCCGUACUGAGAGGUAGAUCGGCCACAUUGGGACUGAGACACGGCCCAGACUCC